rnacentral:miRNA from 1 species
UGGGAGGGCGUGGAUGAUGGUG